AUGAAGUCUCCCUCUCAGCUUCUGCUGAUCUUACAAUUCUGAUUCCCAGGCCUGAUAUGUGACAUCCAGAUUAGACAAUCUCCAUCUUCCUUGUCUUCAUCUCCAGAAGCCAGAGUCACCAUUACUUGCAGGCCAGAUGAGGAUAUUAGUGAUUGUUUAGCCUGGUAUCAACAGAAAUCGGGGAAUGUUGCUAAACUCCUAAUAUAACAUUCUUCCAGUGUUGAAUCCAGAGUUCCUUCAAGGUUCAGUGGCAGUGGAUUUGAAAAAGACUUUACUCUACCAUUAGCAAUCUGAAGACUGAAGAUGUUCCUACUUAUUUUUGUCAACAGUAUUUUAGUACCCAUAU